ensembl:processed_transcript
AAACUAAAUUAACUAAAAGUAAAAUUAAACUAAACUAAAAACGGUUAAAAGCUGUCGCGCAUUACAGUAAACUAUAAACAUUUAUGUUACUUUAAAUCAAAGCGCCAAAUAAAAAAACACACAAAUCAAGCUUUACAGACUAAACUAAAACAAAUACAAAUUUAAAAAAGUCACAAAUUUCCUAAAUUAAAACCCCUGCAAAUUCAAACUAAAUAAACGAAACCCACAAAACAUCUGCUAAAUCAAUAUGCACAGGACGAUGAGGUGCGCGUCCCAUCUGGGAAUGGCUUCAUCCAUAAGGUGUUGUACUGUAGUUCGCAUUAACGUCGCCCUCCCCGUUUCCCCUUCACACACUUUCAGAAGCACAUGUGACACUUCAUCACUCGGGACGCUGCUCAGAGCCAAAUUCAGCCCCGGCGGAGCAGCAUACACACACACACAAACACACACAAACACACAUUCAUGAUAGAGAGAGACGCUGGAGAGUUUUAACAGAGAGAGUGAAGUGAGGGGAUUCCGCAAGUACCUCAGGGGAAAAGCUUGAUAAUUCGUCUGCUCCUCUGGGUGGUGCUCAUGGUGGAGUGGGCCAGAAUCUGCUGUUGAGUCCUGCCAGUCUCCAGCUGGCUCAGCUUCAGGCCCAGCUCACACUGCACCGCCUCAAACUUGCCCAGACCACCAACACUGCCGCCGCAGCCACUGUCCUCAAUCAGGUCCUCUCCAAUGUGGCAAUGUCCCAGCCUCUCUUCAACCACCUUCGGGGUUCAAGCAUGGGUCAGUCCCAUGGCGGAGCCUUUCCACCUCCACCUAUAGCCUUCCCACCUCCGAAUGCUGCUCUGGGACAAAUGGUUGGUGGUGGCUUUACCCCAAAUCCCACUGGGAUCAGGCCCAGCACCUUCAGCGGAGUGUCCAUCCAGAAAUCUUGUCAACACAAUGACUUCAGCAAGAAAUCUGGAACAUACCCAGCAGAUAUGGACCGUCGCUUGCAGUUUGGAUAUCUGGGAGGAUCUUCUAAUAAAGUAUGUGAUGGGGGACAGUAUGGAGGAGCCAACACACAACCCAGAAACAAUGUCCAGCCUAAUUUCCAGAGAGACUUCUAUUCUUCUGAAAGCCCAGUAACACAAACUGGUUUCAAAGGAGGAUGCAGUGAUCAGAGUCUGGGAUCUCUUUCCUCGUCUGGCUCCAAAGAUCAAUGGAAAGGUCCGAUGAACUUGGGAAAGAUGGAUAUAGGAGCAGUUUCUGGGGGUUGGGUUCCACCUGGACCAGGAUUUGUUGGUCCGAGAGCAGAAUUGUAUAACCCAGAGGAACCCACAGCAGAUCCUAAGUUCAACUCGACUUGUGGGCCAGGGAUUGGCCCACCCAUUGGGCAACAAGGGGGAUUUCAAUCACAGCCACAGGUUGCCCAAGUGGAGGAAGAGAGGACUUUGUCAUUACAGCCCCACCAGUUUAAUGACUAUCACGGGACAACACCUUCACAUCUACCCCAUCAGUGCACCAUUUGUGAGAAGAAGGUUUACAACUUGAAGGACUGGGACCAGCAUGUGAAGGGCAAGUUACAUCUGCAAAACUGUUCGCUCUACAACGAAAGCCCGACGCUCACGGCAGUGCACUUUCCAGUGUCGUCUGAAGGAUGUCUCAACAUGGCGUUGAGUAACACCAUGGCGUACACAUCGGCUGCCAGUCAAGACAAUUCAACUGGAAGCACUUCCUAUUUACCCGCCACGGCCAUGAAGUCAUUUCCUCUCUCAGGGGCUGGAUUUCCUGUUCACCAAUCAGGAGCAAAGUUUGUUCAGCGGAAAGCAUGUCCAGGCCGCGUGGUGCACAUCUGUAACCUGCCGGAGGGAAGCUGCACCGAGAAUGAUGUCAUCAACCUGGGUCUUCCGUUCGGCAAAGUGACCAAUUACAUCCUCAUGCGCUCUACACACCAGGCUUUUCUAGAGAUGGCGUAUGUGGAAGCGGCUCAGGCUAUGGUUCAGUAUUAUCAGCUCCAGCCAGCCACUAUUAACGGACAGAAACUGCUGAUCCGCAUGUCGAAGAGGUACAAAGAGCUGCAGCUGAAGAAACCAGGAAAAGACGUCGAUUCAAUAAUCCAAGACAUCAAUUCACAGAGAGAGAGAGACGAGAUGCAGGAGACUGACAGGUAUCUGCCAGAGCGUGCUCGAUCCCGCAGUCCCAUCAGUCGAUCUCUGAGUCCUCGUUCGCACAGUCCCAGUUUCACCUCCUGCAGCUCUGCCCACAGUCCACCGGGACCAUCCUGUCGGCCCGACUGGAGUAACGGCAUGGGCCCCCGGCGGCCCUCCUGGGACUGGACAUCCCAUUCAAGAGGGGACGAUGACCCUAGAGAUGACUGGAGGAACGAAGAGGAUGACCGACCAAACGGAUGGCUGUCAGAGCGCAGGAAACCAUACCUUAAACCCGGCGAGCGCAUCAGUCCUCGAAUGGGUCCCGGGGACGAGCGGGGCAGAGACUGGUACUCUUACCACUCCGUAGAUGACUUUUACAAGAAGGACUCGCUGUAUAAGAACGAUAAACUGAGGACGCAGCAUCAGAGACAUGAAGGGAAGACCAAGAGAAGGGAAGAUUAUCAUAGAUCUCGACACUCUGAGUCAGACCUGACGGAUGAUAUGAGCUGCAGUCGGACACUUGAGGACAGAGGACGCAGCAAGAGGACGAGCCGGAGACCCGAGAAGGAGACGGAAAAUCAGAAAGAAGAACAUAAAGCCAAAGAAAGAUCGGAAUCUCCUCCUAACAGCAAACCUGCUGAGUCCUCAAAGUGUGACAAACUUGGUGACUCUGAGGCGCAGGACAGUGGAGACGAUGGAGAGGAGGAGGAGAGCUGGUAUCCUAAAAGCAUGGAGGAGCUGGUGACUGUGGAUGAAGUAGGAGGAGAAGACGACUCAAUAGUUGAACCUGAUCUACCUGAUCUUCAAGAGGACCACCAGAGAGUCGAGUCUGUUCUGUCAACAGCAGAGAGCCCUAAAACCACUGCAAAAUCCCCAACCGAAGCAGCAGAAGAGCCCGUGGUCGACCCCCCUGACCCUCCAGCACUGGAUCUGAGCCUUGAAGAAACCUCUGGAUGCCCUCAGUCCAGCCCUGGAGAACCAGCGAUCAUCCCAGAGCAGAUGGUCUCUCAGCUCAACCGCUUUCCAUCCCAAGAGUUCAGGAGCGCUUUGGAGGAGACCUGCACUGACGGCAGAACACACAUCCACACACACACCCCAGACGAUCCCCCAGAAAAUAGAGUUGCAGGGGAGAAGAUGACAAACUCCAGUAAUGAUGAGGGAAAGACGGCGGAGAUGGACAACAAGGAAGCAUCUCUCAAACUGGACAGUCAGAAGAAAGAUAUUCCUGACUCAUUAUCGGCUGCUUCACCUCAGGCAUCAGACAUCUCGGCUGCGUCGCCCUCUCAGGAGCAGGAGAAGGCCAUCAGUGAACACAGCAUACCAUUAGGUGUGGAGUUCAUCGUGCCGAGGACGGGGUUUUAUUGUAACCUUUGUGGCUUGUUUUACACCAGCGAACAAACUGCCAAGACGUCGCACUGCCGGAGUACAAUUCACUACAGGAACCUACAGAAGUAUCUGUCACAGCUGGCGGAAGAAAGUUUCUUGAACUUCCACGCGGAGUCGCCAAACACUGAAUAA